rnacentral:tRNA from 2 species
GCCAUCCUAGCUCAGUUGGUAGAGCAGCUCACUCGUAAUGAGCAGGUCGUCGGUUCGAAUCCGAUGGAUGGCUCCA